rnacentral:lncRNA from 1 species
GGCGAAGGAGGCGGAAAGAUGAUUUCAGGCGAAGAAGGAGCGCUUUUGGUUCGAUUUUGUCGCCGGCAAUCCGUCACGGAUUUAGAUGAGUUUCUCCUCAAUCUUUCUUUUCGUCUUCUUCUUCUUUGUCUGUUUUUGUUUCUGAUGAUUAUGGAUUGUAAAGCUAUUUUAAUUUCUUUUUUAUGAUUUGCUGGUUUUCUGAAUACUAUGUGUUUGGUGUUCUUAACGAAAAUAUCUUGGAUUACUCUCUGGUAUUUCAAGAAUGUUUUUCUUUGUUUGGUUCUGGGUUUGAAAAAAUCUCUUUGUUCUCUUUCUCUUACUGUUAACUUAUAUCUCAUAAAACUGCUCAAAUGAUGAAUUUUUGAGUCUUAUAAAAACUCUUUUCAGUUAUGCCUUUUUCUUCCAGAUUAUGUGGGAUCCGUUUUUUUGUAGAUUUGUUACUGUUUUAAACCAUUUUUGAAAUGCUUUUUGGGUGUUCCAGUUAGUCCUCUGGGCAAAAUGUCAAACUGAUUAAUUUAUUUGUUAUUCUUCAGUCCUUUAAGCGCUUCUGGAAAGGGCUUUUUCACUUUAGCCGUUUUUCUCUCUGCAGGUUACAUCGUGAAGUGAC